rnacentral:rRNA from 1 species
UCAGAACGACUCUCGGCAACGGAUAUCUCGGCUCUCGCAUCGAUGAAGAACGUAGCAAAACGCGAUAUUUGGUGUGAAUUGCAGAAUCCCGUGAACCAUCGAGUUUUUGAACRCAAGUUGCGCCCGAAGCCAUUAGGCCGAGGGCACGUCUGCAUGGGUGUCAC